rnacentral:sRNA from 1 species
AUUUUUCCACCCAGCAGGAUGGGUGAUGCUGAGAGCUGCCUGCUCAGACAACAGACACGCGAGGUCAGGAAGAAGCCGCUUAUAAAUUACCGCUUCCUUCGCGCCGCCGCCAACGCCGAGCCCCGAGGACCGCAAGCCCAGAGGACAAGCUGCGCCGAGAGGGAGUGCGGAGCGUUUACCCCGCGGGUCAGAGAGCGAGCGGGCAGGCAGCCCCCGGCCGGCGGAACCCGGCACAGCCGAGCAGAGCGCGGGCGGCGCCGCAGCCACCCCAGGUGGACAUCACACCAGCCCAAGACAACAGUCUCCUCACUAGCCUCUGUGCCUCCUGGAUACCUCUCUGUACCAUCUGGGGACCAGCUCUCUGCAUGUCACUCUUGCUCAAAAGCCUUCAGUGGUGGCUCCCUAGUGCUUUGUGAAAUCAAGUCCAACCUCCUUAGCCUGGCAUUGGAGGCCCUUCACGAUCUGGCCCUUGGCCAGUGUUCUUGCUCACCUACCACAACUUCUUUCCUCAUUUGUAGUCUGGCUGGUUUCUGCUCCUAGCUAGACCAAGCAUCCAGCUCUCU